rnacentral:rRNA from 1 species
CCCGCCAGAGGUUACUGCUAUCGGUGUUCGCCUAAGCCAUGCGAGUCAUAUGUUCUUCGUGAACAUGGCGUACUGCUCAGUAACACGUGGAUAACCUGCCCUUGGGUCCGGCAUAACCCCGGGAAACUGGGGAUAAUUCCGGAUAACGCAUAUAUGCUGGAAUGCUUUAUGCGUAAAAUGGAUUCGUCUGCCCAAGGAUGGGUCUGCGGCCUAUCAGGUAGUAGUGGGUGUAAUGUACCUACUAGCCAACAACGGGUACGGGUUGUGAGAGCAAGAGCCCGGAGAUGGAUUCUGAGACAUGAAUCCAGGCCCUACGGGGCGCAGCAGGCGCGAAAACUUUACAAUGCGGGAAACCGUGAUAAGGGGACACCGAGUGCCAGCGUCAUACGCUGGCUGUCCGGGUGUGUAAAAUACACCUGUUAGCAAGGGCCGGGCAAGACCGGUGCCAGCCGCCGCGGUAACACCGGCGGCCCGAGUGGUGAUCGUGAUUAUUGGGUCUAAAGGGUCCGUAGCCGGUUUGGUCAGUCCUCCGGGAAAUCUGAUAGCUUAACUAUUAGGCUUUCGGGGGAUACUGCCAGACUUGGAACCGGGAGAGGUAAGAGGUACUACAGGGGUAGGAGUGAAAUCUUGUAAUCCCUGUGGGACCACCUGUGGCGAAGGCGUCUUACCAGAACGGGUUCGACGGUGAGGGACGAAAGCUGGGGGCACGAACCGGAUUAGAUACCCGGGUAGUCCCAGCCGUAAACGAUGCUCGCUAGGUGUCAGGCAUGGCGCGACCGUGUCUGGUGCCGCAGGGAAGCCGUGAAGCGAGCCACCUGGGAAGUACGGCCGCAAGGCUGAAACUUAAAGGAAUUGGCGGGGGAGCACAACAACGGGUGGAGCCUGCGGUUUAAUUGGACUCAACGCCGGACAACUCACCGGGGACGACAGCAAAAUGUAGGCCAGGCUGAAGACCUUGCCUGAAUCGCUGAGAGGAGGUGCAUGGCCGUCGCCAGUUCGUACUGUGAAGCAUCCUGUUAAGUCAGGCAACGAGCGAGACCCA